rnacentral:rRNA from 1 species
CUACGGGAGGCUGCAGUGGGGAAUAUUGCACAAUGGGCACAAGCCUGAUGCAGCCAUGCCGCGCGUAUGAAGAAGGCCUUCGGGUUAUAAAGUACUUUCAGCGGGGAGGAAGGGAGUAAAGUUAAUACCUUUGCUCAUUGACGUUACCCGCAGAAGAAGCACCGGCUAACUCCGUGCCAGCAGCCGCGGUAAUACGGAGGGUGCAAGCGUUAAUCGGAAUUACUGGGCGUAAAGCGCACGCAGGCGGUUUGUUAAGUCAGAUGUGAAAUCCCCGGGCUCAACCUGGGAACUGCAUCUGAUACUGGCAAGCUUGAGUCUCGUAGAGGGGGGUAGAAUUCCAGGUGUAGCGGUGAAAUGCGUAGAGAUCUGGAGGAAUACCGGUGGCGAAGGCGGCCCCCUGGACGAAGACUGACGCUCAGGUGCGAAAGCGUGGGGAGCAAACAGGAUUAGAUACCCUUGUAGUC